rnacentral:rRNA from 1 species
CACACUCAUAUAGGAGUCCACCUGCCCAGUGACUACAAGUUCAACGGCCGCGGUAUUUUGACCGUGCAAAGGUAGCGCAAUCACUUGUCUUUUAAAUAGAGACCUGUAUGAAUGGCCAAACGAAGGCUUAACUGUCUCCCCUUUCAAGUCAGUGAAAUUGAUCUAUCCGUGCAGAAGCGGGUAUAAUAAUACAAGACGAGAAGACCCUUUGGAGCUUAAGGUACAAAAUUUAACCACGUCAAGCAACUUAAUAAAAAGCAAAAACCUUGUGGAACAUAAAACUUUACCUUCGGUUGGGGCGACCACGGAGCAAAGCAAAACCUCCAAGUGGACUGGGAUAAUUUUCCUAAAACCAAGAGAGACAUCUCUAAGCCACAGAACAUCUGACCAAGCAUGAUCCGGACACCAAGACCGAUCAACGAACCAAGUUACCCUAGGGAUAACAGCGCAAUCCUCUCCCAGAGUCCAUAUCGACGAGGGGGUUUACGACCUCGAUGUUGGAUCAGGACAUCCUAAUGGUGCAGCCGCUAUUAAGGGUUCGUUUGUUCAACGAUUAAA